ACAGGUGGACUAAUCAAUGGACAAACAACAGGUGGACUAAUCAAUGGACAAACAACAGGUGGACUAAUCAAUGGACAAACAACAGGUGGACUAAUCAAUGGACAAACAACAGGU